UGUGUUUUGGUCCGGCUUAACCGUCAUGGAUCUGUCUUUGUYAUGUCUCUCUUGAGGGGGUGGUACCCCAUUCGGAGUAGAAUGUUUUUUGAUGGUUGCCUGUGUGGCUCUAUCAUUGUUGAGGGAAUUUAAUUACCCGUCUCGUGACAGGAAAUGCUUUGGCUGAGUUCUCGCAACUUUUGCUGCUCGAUAGACGGCAGCACAAGUGGCUGAUGGCGGAUCCUUGCGUGGAUGUGGGACAUCCAUACCACUGCUCAAGGAUGUUGCUGGCUCCUAUGGAUGCUGUGUGCAACGAGCGAUCUGUUGGCCAUUAGCCAAGCAGUUCGCAUGAAGGAGGUCUCAUGUGCUGGCUCAUUUUGCCUGAGCGGUGCGUGUGAGACUCCCUUUGUUCGCUUGAGCGGUUGCCGCUGCACGUCAUGUGUGCGACCCAACUUGUAUGGGGGGUUUGCCGACAUGAUGCGCCCGGCUCUUUGCUUAGGGCGUGCUACCUGG
rnacentral:misc_RNA from 1 species